rnacentral:misc_RNA from 1 species
AAACUACAAGGGGAGCCGAAGCUCCCCAAGAAGUAGUUGCGUGCUCUUAUUAUUUUUUUGUCGGGCUUCUUGUUUUUGUUGAGUGCCCUGACCACCCAAUGCCGUGAGGCUGGUGGACUGUCUCCCUAACCGGGAGUACAAGAGCAAACGGAUUGCUUUGAUCGCCGAUGUUGCGAUGAUCUAUCGAUCCAACCAGUUCAGGCUCUGCUAGAGUGCAGUU